rnacentral:lncRNA from 1 species
UGAUAUACUGUCAUUCGAACUUGAGCUUGCUAUCGAACUUCUAGAAGUAAGUCUAGAUCGGCUCUCCGAUAUUCUGAAUUGCUCGGUUCACUAUAUUUUUCAUCCUUGCUGAUGGAAAUCCGAUCUUAAGUAGGAUUAUCGCUUCUAUUUUAUAGGCCAGAUUGAAUGGCGAUUCUCCCAUUGGUAUGCAAGGAGUUAUUCGAUAUGCCCAUAAGAUCGGAUAUAGUUCUUCCACCC